UCCUGGUAUCAUUGAGGGUGCUAAAGAUGGGAAGGGGCAAGGCAGGCAGGUAAAACAUGAAUUUUUUUUUUCUUAAGUGUUUGUCUUCAGUAUAAUUUUUUUUUUGUGGGAUUUUUUUUCUUAAGUGGUUGUCUAUUGAUCCAAAGUGCUGAUGUUUGAUUAAUUACCCUUGUCCAAAAUGGAGACAUCAUAAUGGUCACUUUGGAUGUUGACACAAAGUUAAUUCUUCCAUGUUCUUGCCUGUUGUUAAUGUUUACAUUCUAAAGACAUUUUCUCUACUCGUCUCUCAUCUAUCUAAUGUUUGUGACACAUGGUACUAGGAGGUUUGAUCUUGGCUUUGUUGCUUGAAACCCCAAAGUAAAUGAGGCCCCAAACGUCAAAGUAGAGUUACUAAGCGUAAUUGCUAAUGAGUUGAGGAUUCAUGAUCUUCCAUCAUAACCCAUAUCAUAAGUUUUUGGAAUGGCUAAAACACUCUUGAUAUAGUUAUAACUUGACAACUGGAGGUAAUGCUUGGAAAUUGAGAAAUAAUACUUCUGUGAUAAUUAGAAAAGAUUUUAACAAAAUCUCUUUGAAUUGCUAAAGUGCCCACCUGGAUCCUUUGGGCACCUUAGCUAUGGUAACACACUUUUCCAAUGUACCACUUGUGUUAUAAAUAAUGGGGAUUGUCAAUUUCUUGCCUUAGCAAACUUAUGUUUCACAAAAGUCCUCAUAAUAGUGAGGUAGAUGCCCAAGGGAUGCAUCCUCUCAACCAACUGAAAGAAAACAGCAGUUAUGGGAUCAUUGGAAAGGUGACAUUAAAAGUUUGGGGUUAUUAAGUGGGUUUUGCCAGGAAAUGCAUUGGAUGAGCAAGAAGCAAGUACAAGUAGAGAGUGAGCUGUUUUAAAAUGGGUCAAAUAUGGAAAUUUGGUUUUCCAAGCUGAAUAUUUAGAUUUCGUCUACCAGAAAUGUCGGUGAAACUGUGGCCUGUCGAGUCCAAGAUUUGAUUUACUGAAUGAUCACCUAUUCACUGUUCACAAUUUUCAAAUAAGAAGCUCUUUUUGAGUGUGACCAAACAUUAUGUUACCUAAAACCUUUAAAAUAUCAAAGCUUAAUCAAUCCCUAAGUCUUAAGUUUGCAUCCUAAACUCUUUAGACUGAAAGGUUAUGGUCUAUGAUGUUACAUCAAGUCAGCUCCGUAUAAUUUUUUUUCCCAUUGUGUUCCAUCUAUACCAUAGAGUCACUUUUCUGUGAGUUGUCAUGCCUUACAUAUGCAUAUAUUAUAAUGAAAACAAUGAUGAUGUGGAAGUAUGAUAUAUAUAAAUACUAAUUACUAAAGCAUGUCAUGAUUCUUGGAUUCACCUUAGCAUACAGAAUUCCUUUAUGACUUUGUUGUAUUUAUGUGUUAAGUAAUUCAUGUUUAUUCUUCAUAUGGUUUUCCAUCUAGAUCAGUAUAUUAUAUAGUGAUGACAUUUCUAUACAGGUUAUCCAUACAGCAAGGACAUGCAAUUGUAUCUUAAUUGUUCUCGACGCAAUAAAGCUGAUCACUCACAAGCGUCUGAUAGAAAAAGAGCUUGAGGGAUUUGGCAUAAGAGAAGUUUGACAUUCAACAUAUGUCCAUGGCCAUAACCGUACUUCCUGGAUUGAACAAGGAACCUCCUAAUAUUUCAUUUAGGAAGAAAGACAAGGGUGGGAUUAAUUUUGUCUCAACAGUUACCAACACACACCUUGAUCUUGAAA
rnacentral:misc_RNA from 1 species